rnacentral:rRNA from 1 species
UGGGGAAUUUUCCGCAAUGGGCGCAAGCCUGAUCCAGCCAUGCCGCGUGAGUGACGAAGGUCUUCGGAUUGUAAAACUCUUUUGGCGGGGACGAUAAUGACGGUACCCGCAGAAUAAGCCCCGGCUAACUUCGUGCCAGCAGCCGCGGUAAUACGAAGGGGGCUAGCGUUGUUCGGAAUCACUGGGCGUAAAGCGCACGUAGGCGGAUGUGCCAGUCAGGGGUGAAAUCCCGGAGCUCAACUCCGGAACUGCCUCUGAUACAGCACGUCUUGAGUUCGAGAGAGGUGGGUGGAAUUCCUAGUGUAGAGGUGAAAUUCGUAGAUAUUAGGAAGAACACCAGUGGCGAAGGCGGCCAACUGGCUCGAUACUGACGCUGAGGUGCGAAAGCGUGGGGAGCAAACAGGAUUAGAUACCCUUGUAGUCCCUGAGCGGGCUGGCAAGGCGCAU